UUUAUGAUUUUUGGUUUUCAGUAUUCCACAUCAUAACAUCAUGACAUCAUGUAGUGCGCUGGGAGUUAAAGAGUUAAUGCUCCAGUUCUGGGCACCUGUCUGGAAGAGAAGAACUACAUACACCAGGGGGCUUUGCGCUCAGAGAGGAGACAUAACCCCUGGCAAGAACAACAGGAGCAGAAAAUAUGAUGAAAGGAGAAAACUCAUGGGUUGAGAUGAAGAGCAGUAUAAUGAAAAAAAUGUCAUAUGGAAGCAAAAGGAGAAAAUAAUUAUUCUCUACUUCCCUUCAGCAAGAAACAUUCAACCACAUCUUGGGAAAUAGGGCCUCAGUAUGCAGAGUGGAUG
ensembl:lncRNA